rnacentral:lncRNA from 1 species
UGGUGGGAGGUGUGGUUACCUGGGAUGGACACUAAUCAUUUUACAGAUAACAGAUAUUUUCCCUCUGACUGAAAACUCAAUAAUCUGGAAUGAUUCAAAUAUCAGAUUGAUACGACGGUCUCUGAUUCUGGCGGAUAUCUCCUCAAUCCCGAGUGUGGACCUGAUGUUGGACCAGCUUCAGUGGCGUUCUUCUCUCUUCAGAACGUCCCGUCGGUUCUGAGGAACAGCUGGAGGAAGAGCCCCAAAACCGUGAAGAGGGGGAAGAGGAAGAGCGUGGAGGUGGAGGACCUGGUCUUCAGCGAGAACAAGAGGAACAGGGGGAGGGGCGGGGCUCUGAGCAGCAGACAGGUGAGCGCUCUCAGGUGCGCCGUCCCGCCGGCCGCAGCUUUCCUUUACCUCCUUCUUCUUCUGUGGUUUCAGGAGCAGAAAGCGUCUGCGGUGAUCUUCGACUCUCCCUCCAAAGCCAAAGGUCCGGUGGAGACGGGAACCACAAAACCCCGUCGAGGGCGCAGAAAGCUUUUAAAGACGGGGGUGUCGACGCCGCUGCUCGAUUCCCCUCAAACGGCGUUGGAAGGAGCCGGCGAAGACAAGGAAAGCGAUCACCUGAUCAUCAAGAGGAAGCUGCGCUCUAAAACCGGCAGGAAGUGAUGUCAUCGACCUCGAAAACAUGUACAGAUUUUAUGUCGUCUCAGGAUCAAUAAAGAACAGGAUAAUGUCACAAUCAGAUUCCUCAUUUUCAGGACGUAGACGGGACCGGCCGUCUGUCGUCACUAGAGUUUCAAUAAAGUUAUGAAAAUGGGAUAAACAAGGCGAUUUAUCUUGACGCAUAUCAUGAUAUAUCCCAAGAAUACCAG